UGAACCACUCAAAAUCGUCUUGCGAUUUUGGACGUUGGGCUUUAUUGUUGUGCGAAUACACAACUGGCCUGAAAUUGGUUACAAAAUAAAUGCAAGAAAUGUGUAGCUGCCUUUGUUGCAUAAGACGAAAAGCUAAUUAGUUGACCGUGGUCAAACUUGCUGACUAGUCUUUGAAAACUAAAGCAGAUCUACAUUUACA
rnacentral:misc_RNA from 1 species